rnacentral:piRNA from 1 species
UUCAGCUUGUUUGGUCUUCGGGUGGUU